rnacentral:lncRNA from 1 species
GCAAUAUGAUAAAAUUGAAAAAUUUCACAAAUGUCAGGAGAACAAGAUCUGGUGUCUGGGUUUCAACUCUUAGAGCUUCCCAGCUCGUAGCUAUGCUCCUGAAUUCCUCUGGCAGCCCUCCUCAAGGACCUCUGUGAGACAAAGUCAGAAAUGACUUCACUGGAGACCAAGAGAGCCCACAGAGCUCUUCCUGCUGCUUCUUCUACCCUUGUACUCACUCGGCUCUCUAAAUUUGUCUCAGCUCCAGCCAUGUAAAACAUGCUUGCUUCCCCUUCACCUACUGCCAUGAUUGUCAGUUUCCUGAGAUCUUCCUCCCAGAAGCUUUUACUCUGUACAGAAGCCUGUACAGCCUGCAGAACCGUGAGCUAACUAAACCUCUUUUCAUUAUAAAUUACCCAGUCUCGGGUAUGUCUUUAUAGCAAUGUGAGAAUGGACUAAUACACACACACUCCUAUUUUAUCUUCUCUAACUUUCCCCCUUCCCCACAUGUCUCCAGCCACAUUGUCUCAUUAUAGCUCUUCAAACUCACCAAACACCCUCCUGCCUCUGAGCCUUUGCACUAGCUAUUCCCUCUGCCUGGAACACUUUUCACUCAUUUAAUAAAAUGGUUCAUUCUCUCACUUCCAUCUGAUGUAUAUCCAAAUGUUUUCU